UUUGGCAUUUCGAAAACCAAUAUCGGAUGAAUGAGAAAUUACGAAAAAGACCUCAACCAUUAGUGAAUAGACACCUUUUCAUAAAUAUGCAUUGUUUGGAAAUGGUGCAUGGUUUGGUCUCAACCAUUUCGUCCACACCCCUUCAUGGUCUAUAAAUAGGACCCUUUGGGUGUCCUAUUCCUCACAGUUUGAUAUGCAAAACGAUUUCAUCCUCUCUUCUAUCCAAAAUCAAAAUCAUUUCGUUUAUUUUGAUUUUCUUUCAUUUCAUCCUUGGAGUACAUAAGCCUAAAUUGGUUCGUUGUACUUGUGUUUUGGAGUGCUACAAACACAAGUGUAGCCGUUGUAUCUUGGGAGUCGAUUGCCGAAAUCCGUAGGCACCGUUGCGGGGCAAAUUCGACUUAAGG
rnacentral:lncRNA from 1 species